rnacentral:rRNA from 1 species
AGUGAACGCUGGCGGUAGGCCUAACACAUGCAAGUCGAACGGCAGCACAGUAAGAGCUUGCUCUUACGGGUGGCGAGUGGCGGACGGGUGAGGAAUACAUCGGAAUCUACUUUUUCGUGGGGGAUAACGUAGGGAAACUUACGCUAAUACCGCAUACGACCUACGGGUGAAAGCAGGGGAUCUUCGGACCUUGCGCGAUUGAAUGAGCCGAUGUCGGAUUAGCUAGUUGGCGGGGUAAAGGCCCACCAAGGCGACGAUCCGUAGCUGGUCUGAGAGGAUGAUCAGCCACACUGGAACUGAGACACGGUCCAGACUCCUACGGGAGGCAGCAGUGGGGAAUAUUGGACAAUGGGCGCAAGCCUAAUCCAGCCAUACCGCGUGGGUGAAGAAGGCCUUCGGGUUGUAAAGCCCUUUUGUUGGGAAAGAAAUCCAGCCGGCUAAUACCUGGUUGGGAUGACGGUACCCAAAGAAUAAGCACCGGCUAACUUCGUGCCAGCAGCCGCGGUAAUACGAAGGGUGCAAGCGUUACUCGGAAUUACUGGGCGUAAAGCGUGCGUAGGUGGUCGUUUAAGUCUGUUGUGAAAGCCCUGGGCUCAACCUGGGAACUGCAGUGGAAACUGGACGACUAGAGUGUGGUAGAGGGUAGCGGAAUUCCUGGUGUAGCAGUGAAAUGCGUAGAGAUCAGGAGGAACAUCCAUGGCGAAGGCAGCUACCUGGACCAACACUGACACUGAGGCACGAAAGCGUGGGGAGCAAACA